UUGUGUAUUUAAGUAGAAGUUGCUUAGAGGGAGGAAGUAAUUAUUUCGAAACAUUUGGGUUAAGUAAUGAGAUUUUGGGAAAGUUAUGUGGUGCACUAUACAUAUAGAGAGAGAUGGAGAAAAAUCAGAUUUUCUCCUUCCAUUUGACCCGUAUGUCUUCUUCACCUUCUCUCAUUCUUCUUCUUCUUCCACCAUUAAUGAGUUUCAAGAUCUACUUUCUCUCUCCUCCAUUUGAGACCUUUAGGGUGGGAAUUAGAAGAUAUUCCAAGAGAGAAAGCUUAUCCUCUCUUCUUCCUCUUCAAUUAUAUGGAAGAAAAUAUGAGUUUGGAGUAUUUUAGAAUUUUGGGUGAUUUUCGAACUUAGGAUUUUGAGGAAGCCAUAGGAGGGUAGCUUGUUCUCCUUCUUCUCCUCUUCGGUUCUAUGAAAGAAAAUUUGGAUUUGGUGAACUAUGGUCCAGUGGAACUUGGGUGGGAUUUUACUUUUCUUGAGGAUAUGGAAAGGAAGUGGCGGACGACGUUCUACCACAGGCGUAUGCAGGAUUUUAGAAGCUUAUUUUGUUACCUCUUGUACCUAAGUCUCAUUUUGUGUAACUUUAUUAAGACAUGUACAUUUUGUAUAUUGUAUGGCCUAUAAAGGGAAUCAAGAACCAUGUUUGUAUUUGAUGUAAGUUUCAAAUGUCUUACUAAUAGCCAAUGAUGCAUGUAAUAGUUAUGUU